rnacentral:rRNA from 1 species
GACGAACGCUGGCGGCGUGCUUAACACAUGCAAGUCGAACGGAAAGGCCCUGCUUUUGUGGGGUGCUCGAGUGGCGAACGGGUGAGUAACACGUGAGUAACCUGCCCUUGACUUUGGGAUAACUUCAGGAAACUGGGGCUAAUACCGGAUAGGAGCUCUUGCUGCAUGGUGGGGGUUGGAAAGUUUCGGCGGUUGGGGAUGGACUCGCGGCUUAUCAGCUUGUUGGUGGGGUAGUGGCUUACCAAGGCUUUGACGGGUAGCCGGCCUGAGAGGGUGGCCGGACACAUUGGGCCUGAGAUACGGCCCAGAAGCCUACGGGAGGCAGCAGUGGGGAAUAUUGCACAAUGGGCGGGAGCCUGAUGCGGCAACGCCGCGUGCGGGAUGACGGCCUUCGGGUUGUAAACCGCUUUCGCCCGUGACGAAGCGUGAGUGACGGUAAUGGGUAAAGAAGCACCGGCUAACUACGUG